UCCCGAAGCUUGUUCAGAGACAGAGAAGAGUGAGGGUCUCCCAAGGCUGCUGCUGUUGGUUGAAGUGAACAUUUCGAGCUCCCCGUUUCUGCUUUUGCCCACUGUGACAGGAAGAAGCAACACCAAGCAUCCGGAACAACCUUCUGCCACGGGUCUUCCUUUCGCCAGUAUGCGGCCUAAGACUCAUAACUGAACAGGGUUCCAGAGACUCAUUUU